GUUACAAUUUACAAAACAAACACAAACCUAGUACGCCACUUUCCCGCUCGCUUUUAAGGUUCAAAACAUUAAAAACCUAUGCCUAUGUACACUGUCCGCACUAUUUCUUGUCACUUUCACGCGAAAACUAGACGGAAAAUUUUUCUCUUUUCAUUUUAGAUGCGAACAGAACAAAAUAUAGAAAUUUAGAUUCCGAACUAAAACGAUGAAUUCCCCUGAGUCCAAUCGGGUCGCCGCCACGUCAUCACCCAGUUCUUCCAACAAGUCUCCGCCUGUGCAAGAAUCACCAUUCUCCAAUUUCCUUAGCAAUCUCUCCCCUAUAAAGUCAGUUAAAGCAGUACGUUAUACACAAAGGUUUUUGGAAUCUAAUUUUCCAACCCCACCGCCCGUGUUUACAUCACCUCGCAUAGAUCUGCAGAGAGAGACUGGUCUUCUGGAAAGAAACAAUAUAGUUGAAGAAGAUUCAAAUAUUCGUGAACAGUGUAAUACCCAGUUGAAUGUUGCACAAAUUCCUAGCUUAGAGAAGGAAGUCCAAUCAUGCAGUCCUUCAGGGAGCGUUGACGAAUAUCUGGCAGAUAUUGUGGAGGUGGACUGUACACAUUCAGCACAUAAACAUUUGCAAUUAGCUAAUGAAGUGUCUAAAAUGUUACAGGGUGGUUUCACUGACCCCAAAGAAACCCCAAAAGAAACCAUAAGAAAAGUUGACACUGUGGAUAGCAGGGGCAGUAGAGAGGCUAGAACUCUGACAUCAUCCGAUCAAGCCGGAAAGAAUUUACCUUUAACUUCACUUAAUUUGGUUGAUGAUUUAGUUGAUUUGAGGAAUGAUGAAAGUUUUAAUGUGUUCCUAAAGAUUACAUCUGAAGAUGUCAAUGACAUUGUUGAUUCUGAUGUGAAUCUAAACCCUGCUUUAGGAGCGCAACAAUAUGCAGCUCAGUCACUUUCUGAACCUUUGCAGAUUGACGAGGCGUUUGAAGAUUCUGAUGACAGUUCAAGAGCAUUACCAAAAGAAUUUGUGAAGGAGGCCAAUCAUCACCAACGUGGUAUACGUAGACAUCUUCAUUUUGAAGCUGCUUUAGCCUGCAAGAGUGUAGCUACUGGAAAAACAACCAAUUCAAGGGCUAGCCUAACAAACUUGAAGAGUCUGGGUUUGUCUCAUGUUGAAAGUAGGGUAACCUCCAGUGGUGGGGAGGCAGUCAACUAUAUUCAGUCCAGGGCUUCCAAGUCCUCUUUUGGCCCCUUUGAAGUGGUGAGAUCUACUCAAAAUAGCAGGAAUCCUGUAAUCUUGUCCCCCAUUCCAUCUGGCAUGGGGUUACAUCUAAAUAGCACUGUCAGAUCUGUGUCCUUGGGCACGGAUAUGUUUGCAUGUGAGAACUUAACUAGGUAUGGAAGUUCACAAGAUAAGGUAGUUCAUGAGAGGAGCAAUGAUUCAGCAGAAGAACCAAAUAAUACCUCAAUUUCAGCUGUAGCUGGGACUACGUAUUCUUAUACAGAUAUGGAUCAGCAGGAAAGUCAAGCUGGUGUGGCAGCCAGUUCUGACACCUACCCUAUCAACAGUCUGAAUCCCCCAUGUGAUUCUCCUUUGGCACGAACUGAGCAGCAGGUUAUUCCAUGUGAGGGGAGAAUAUCUACUCCACAAAAUGCUGACAGUGUUGAGGAGUUGAACCAAGAGAGCUCCAAUAAGAAAAGGAAGAGGCCAUCAAACACAAGUGAGAGUCAUGGCUGCAAACGUUGCAAUUGUAAGAGGUCCAAAUGCUUGAAACUUUAUUGUGAGUGCUUUGCGGCUGGAGUUUAUUGUGUGGAUUCUUGCGCAUGCGUAAACUGCUUUAACAAGCCUGAAUAUGAGGACACGGUUCUUGAUAUACGACAGCAAAUCGAAUCUCGUAAUCCUCUUGCAUUUGCUCCAAAGGUUGUUAAGCAUGACACUGACUCUCCAGCAAUAAUUAUGGAAGCAGGGAACCGGAAUACUCCAUCAUCAGCCAGGCACAAAAGAGGAUGCAAUUGUAAAAAAUCAAAGUGUCUUAAAAAAUAUUGUGAAUGCUACCAGGCUAAUGUUGGAUGCUCUGAUGGAUGUCGAUGUGAGGGUUGUCAAAAUUCUUUUGGAACAAGUUCAGAAUGCAGGAGAGUUGAAAACCCAUCUCAUGAGGUGAGUGGAAAGGAUGGGAGUAUUGAGCAAUUCUCACCAACAUGGCAAGGACUUGCUGAUAUACGUAGUCUUGCCCCUUGCUCAGGGGCACUAAUGUUUGCUCCAUCCAAUAUAAGGGACUGCUCAAAAGUUUCACAAACCAAAUUGCAACGAGGAAGUAGCAUUCAGCCACAAGCUGGUUCCCUUCAAUGGAAUUAUUCCCCUGUCAUUCUUACACCUCAGUUAUGUGACAGUAAGGGCUCCCAUGAGCUCACUUCAGACAGUGCACUCUGUGAUAUAAUAGAGGAUGAAGAUAUGCCUGAGAUUCUCAAGGACACUUCUACCCCUCUCAAGGCAGUGAAAGCUAGCUCGCCAAAUCAGAAACAGGUGAUGCCUCCACAUUGUCGAUCAGAUAGUCAAAGGUCAAGCUCUCCACAUGGCAUGAGAAGUGUCCGGAAAUUCAUUUUGCAGACGAUGCCUCCUUUCCCUCCUCUUACCCCAUACAGUAAUUCUAAAGGCCGUGUCAACCAAAAAGAAAAUGAUCAGAAAGAUAAUAUUGGCAAUCAUUGAUUUGAUUGCAUGGAGUUGGCAUUGGCUAGUAAACUGCUUUGAACUUUAUGAGUGCAGCUGGAGACAGCCUUUAUAUUGGUAAGAAAUCAGGAAAGAAUCAUUGCUAUGGGAGUGCUAAUUCUUGGCCUUUAUACUAUUUCUGACGCUGUUGUGAAUCCCACUCUAAGAAGUAGAAAGACUCAAUUCUUUAUUAUAGAUGGAUGUGGCAUAUGAAUAAGAACAGAUUAUGUUGCUGUCAAGAACCCUGGCUGCAAGGGGCAACCUAAGCAUGGAAUAACAGUCCAAAGAAAUAGAUUUUCUAAAAAUGGUAUCUGAUAAUGCAUUAGAACUGUGGAAUAAACUACAUUCACAAAACAUCAUCUGAAAAAUGAAUGACUUACAAGUGUGGGUUCCAUAUGGAGCUUUAGGAUGAUUUUGUUUCACACACAAAGAUAAAGUCUCAAACAAACAUUUUUUUUGAACAUUAUAACAUUAUCUUUUUAGUGUAAGUAUGUUCAAAAGUAAAUCUACUUUGGACUUCUACACAAUUUGAGCAUUGCAUAUUAAAAUGAACAAAAAUAUUAUGAGUCAUUAGAGCCAUUGGUGUAUGUAGAGUUCAGAAGAAUAAAAAAAAGGUCAUACACAGUGCACAAAGUUCCCAUUUUUGUGGGGUUUGGGAGAGGGAAUUGGUAAGAAGAAUCAAAUUAAAAAAUUUAUAUUAAGUGAAUUUUUGUAAUUCUUUAGAUUCCUUUGUGCUCAUGAUACAUGUAAUCUCUUUCAAUAAAAUUUGUGUUUACUUUUAACAAACUAGUUUUCAAUUGUUAUAAAUAAUACUCAUACAAUAAUCCAAACAGUGCAGAAGCAAAGAAGCAUAAACUGCAACUUUGGUAUAUAGAGAUCCAGAUACGUACUCAUUCCAUGAC